UACGGGGGGAGCAAGCGUUGUUCGGAUUUACUGGGCGUAAAGGGCGCGUAGGCGGCCACCGCAAGUCAAUUGUGAAAUCUCCGGGCUUAACUCGGAAAGGUCAACUGAUACUGCGGGGCUAGAGUGCAGAAGGGGCAACUGGAAUUCUCGGUGUAGCGGUGAAAUGCGCAGAUAUCAGGAGGAACACCGGUGGCGAAGGCGGAUCUCUGGGCCUUACCUGACGCUGAGGCGCGAAAGCUAGGGGAGCGAACAGG
rnacentral:rRNA from 1 species